CGCGUAGGCGGAUGUUACAGUCAGGCGUGAAAUUCCUGGGCUCAACCUGGGGGCUGCGUUUGAUACGUGAUGUCUGGAGUUCGGAAGAGGGUCGUGGGAUUCCCAGUGUAGAGGUGAAAUUCGUAGAUAUUGGGAAGAACACCGGUGGCGAAGGCGGCGACCUGGUCCGAUACUGACGCUGAGGCGCGAAAGCGUGGGGAGCAAACAGGAUUAGAUACCCUGGUAGUCCACGCUGUAAACGAUGUGCGCUGGAUGUUGGGUGACAUAGUCAUUCAGUGUCGUAGCUAACGCGAUAAGCGCACCGCCUGGGGAGUACGGCCGCAAGGUUGAA
rnacentral:rRNA from 1 species